GGGGGUGUAGCUCAGGGGUAGAGCGCUCGCUUCGCAU
rnacentral:tRNA from 1 species